rnacentral:rRNA from 1 species
AGUCGUUUGUCGCGUCUGCUGUGAAAUCCCGAGGCUCACUCGGACUGCAGUGGGUACGGGCAGACUAGAGUGCGGUAGGGGAGAUUGGAAUUCCUGGUGUAGCGGUGGAAUGCGCAGAUAUCAGGAGGAACACCGAUGGCGAAGGCAGAUCUCUGGGCCGUAACUGACGCUGAGGAGCGAAAGGGUGGGGAGCAAACAGGCUUAGAUACCCUGGUAGUCCACCCCGUAAACGUUGGGAACUAGUUGUGGGGUCCUUUCCACGGAUUCCGUGACGCAGCUAACGCAUUAAGUUCCCCGCCUGGGGAGUACGGCCGCAAGGCUAAAACUCAAAGGAAUUGACGGGGACCCGCACAAGCGGCGGAGCAUGCGGAUUAAUUCGAUGCAACGCGAAGAACCUUACCAAGGCUUGACAUACACGAGAACACUCUAGAAAUAGGGGACUCUUUGGACACUCGUGAACAGGUGGUGCAUGGUUGUCGUCAGCUCGUGUCGUGAGAUGUUGGGUUAAGUCCCGCAACGAGCGCAACCCUCGUUCUAUGUUGCCAGCACGUAAUGGUGGGAACUCAUGGGAUACUGCCGGGGUCAACUCGGAGGAAGGUGGGGAUGACGUCAAAUCAUCAUGCCCCUUAUGUCUUGGGCUUCACGCAUGCUACAAUGGCCGGUACAAAGGGCUGCAAUACCGUGAGGUGGAGCGAAUCCCAAAAAGCCGGUCCCAGUUCGGAUUGAGGUCUGCAACUCGACCUCAUGAAGUCGGAGUCGCUAGUAAUCGCAGAUCAGCAACGCUGCGGUGAAUACGUUCCCGGGUCUUGUACACACCGCCCGUACAGGGUCAUGAAAGUCGGUAACACCUGAAGCCGGUGGCCCAACCCUUGUGGAGGGAGCCGCCAAAURGGGGGUUUA